GAAUCGUGGAAUAAAAAUUCAACUGCGAUAAGAUUCUCAAUCACUCCGCGUAACUCGAAGCUUUGAGGCUUUAGUUUUGCGCAAUAAAUCGUAAGUCGAAGAGUGUCGAAAAAACUUGAAAAUCAAUCGGCUUUCAAGUCGAGCCAGAAACGAUCGGGACGCGGUUUGAGAAAACGAAAAUCAUUCACGGAACGUCGUAAAGUAUCCAGCUGCGUAAACCGAUUAACGACGAACGACAUAGCCUUCGGCGCGUGUGUACACAUUUCGAAAUCCCAUUCAUUUCUUCCUCUGACCGAUGACUCGCGAGAAGUGGGAGCUGCAUGGAUUUUUCAAAACUCAGGAAGCGUUGAGCUCGGAAUCCAAAAAAGCUGCACACGCCUUCAAACGGUCAUCGAACGUGAAGGAAUUGGAGUCUAGAAGAGAAGCCGGAAUUCGCAGGAACGGAAUUUUCUUGAAUUACCUGAAGCGAACGAAAUGCCCGAAAGCUGCUAGUUUUUCUGUCAGAAGAUUCUUUGGAGCAAAGCCAGGAUUCAUGCUGCAGUUCGCUGCGAUCGUCCCUGGGAGCGAUGCGUACCAAAUACCUUAAAGUUCCAAACGAUUUUUAUAAAAUUUAUGGAAAAAGUGGAUCAGCAUGAAAAAUUGAACAAUCCGGCCUCAAAAUAACGCCAAUCAGAAGCCCCGGAAGCCCACAAAUCAAGUAUAAUCUGCGGAUGAUCGAAUGAGGCGCGUCAUUCGUCUGAGCGUAUUCCGCGGACUCUACAAUCCUUCGAAUCUGUCCGAGUUGAUAGAUCGUCUCGCCACUUGAGGAUGCAAACGAGUACAGACUUCGCUCUUUUUCUAUAGUUGGGCGGCAAGAGCGAGGCCGCCGGUACGUGGACGACUGAACCGAUAACAGCUCAUGCGGGCGAUCGAAGACAUAGAAAUAGAAGGACAGAGAGAAAAUGGCAUGGACGGGAGACGAGAUAUAAAAAAAGACUUUGAGCUCCAUUGUUUUUCAUUCUCGAACGAGGAUGAUACAUCCGAGCGGACAACAAACGAGUCUCAAUCCGAGGCGCGUACAUGCGUGGCCAGAUGUACGCGAUACGUCUUUGCAUGUGACAUUUCACGAUUUUUUUGUAAGGAUCUUGGCUACCACGCUGCCUAACUCUAUGGAAAAGCCGUGCGUCGCAGCGGUAAUUAGAACGUGGAUAAAUAACGGAUGUACCUGUUCUUUCUCCUGCUGGUUUCGUGGCCACAGUGUCGCGGUGAGAUACAACUCGCCGAGAUGUUGUCGGGGUCUCGCAGGGUCCUUGAGCUCUAGGACAAUAUCCUGUGGGUGGCCAAGGUCCAGCUGAACGAGUUCCAGCUGGGCUGCUCCCAUGAAAUCGUCCUGAAGGCCCCAGUCGUAAUCGAAGACCUGGGACAUUCGGAACAACUCUCAUGGAAAUGAAUAAAUAAAGUUUGCGGCCUCGCUCGCUAUUUAAAGUCAAGGGACUGUAACAACUCACUGGACGAAACUACGAAGCCUUGCUGCAGCCAAACGAAUAUUCAUGCCAAGACACCAAAAUACUAUCGGAGCAAACUUAUUCAUAAAUUCAUCCGAACGGUUACCGUUUCCUUGAGUCGAUGAGUCGAAUUUGAUGGACCGAAACAAUUAAAAACUGAUCUGUCGAGCAGUUCCGGAGGACCCACUUCGAUUCUAAUUGGCUAUUCUUGAGAUAUUCGGGACGAGAGGAAGAGGCUUUUUUAUUACCUUGAUGUUGAGCGCCUGAAAGGGGUCUUCGAUCGGCAGCGUGACGCUUUCGUCCCAGAUGGGGUUCAAUUCUCGGUGAACCGUGCGAGAUUUGUGGAGAAGGCGUCCGGCGCACUUGAUCUUGACGUACGGGUCGCUCGCCCCUGCGGAUAAACAGAACGUCCGGAAACGUGGAUAGCGCAAGAUAAUAAGAAUAAAGCCACUAAGAGUCGGCGCGUGCUCCGGAAACGAGCGACAAUUCCGUGCUGAAAAACUUGCUUCGAAACUCGACGAGCGCGCGUAACACCAUGAGAAACGCUCCAAAUUUUCCAGCAUCGUGUAGAAACAGCUCCAACUUAAUGUUACUUGUGGAAAUUAUUUUGUCGAAUGAAUUCAGCAAAGGAUUUUUCGUUGACCGAGCCAGUGAUCGGAACAAUCGAUUCAAUCACCGGCGGAAUCUUACGAACGAACUCCGAGAAUACAAAAGCUUAAGAAAUCGGAGCGAAACAACCGAUUUUACGGGCCGAAUAACAUUUUAUUGGAAACUCCGUGCGGCUCAAGCAAUCGGACGAUCGAAUAAAGGGCUUUAUGGAGAAACGUUGCGGAUUUAAUGUAAUCAACGCGCCAUUUUUCAUUACGUCGUUCAGAUAACUCAUCAACAGAGUACUCACCGAGCCACGUGUUUUCAUGUUCGACUGUCACAUGCUUCGGGGCCGUUUGACUAUUAAGAAGCGUUCACUUCAUUUUUUCCUGGUUGGAACCGAAAACGUUGGAAGAAGAAAUUACGCGAGUGGACGAUGAAAGAGUACAAAAACAAAAAAAUUGAUGCACACUGAAUGAACUGUUCGAUCGACCACGAGGCAAUGCGACGUCAAAAAUAUGAUCAAAGGCAAAACAUCAGAGUUGGAAAAACUUAAGCUCCGAUGUACAAAAGAUUUUUCUUAAUGGAAAAAGUUCAUCAUAGUAAUAAACGACUUUGUCUGUUAUUAGAUUGAUAAGCUUUUUCAUUUCUAGGUUCUGAGUCAUUCUGUGCUUUUACCACGAGUGUUACAUUCGCACGUAAUUGUUUAUGACUCGUAUUUACUGUGACCCAUUUUCCUACUCUGUCCAACGGAACAGACGUUAACACAGUCGAUGUACCUACAGAACACGAAGCCCGCGAGACAACGACGACGUAUUAUUUGCAAGUUAAUUGGGAUUGGAACAAAACCAACGAAUAGCGUUGACAUGCACUAUUUUCUUGAUGAAUCAAAACGGCUUUGAUUCCCUCUGAAAUUGGCGUUAUCAAAAUAAGAUCCGCCCAGUUGCAUCUGACAAUCAGUUAAUCAUUUUUACAGAAUUAAAGAAGCAUGCAACAGGCGAUAAAGUUUUGAAAUAUAUUUUCUCCACGAUCAAGUGAAAUGUUUUAAAUCAUUAAUUUAAAUUCUACUCAUACUAAGCUUCAAAUUUAAUUAAUUAUUAGUCGGGAACAUAAUUAUAUUGGAAUAUGAGCAAAAAUAAAAAAGAGUAAAAAAUAAACGUAGAAAUUUUCACAAACUAAGUACAACAAUGUGCAAAGGUCUUACAAAAACGAUUACAAGGUUAAUCUGGAGCCUCAAACUAUAUAAAUUCCGACACAAAGGAUCGAGGGACCGGUAUUGGUUUUUUGAGUUCGUGUGUCGCUUACAGUCACGGAAAUAAAAUGAAGGCAAAAGGGGUUGCUCGAAUUUUGCGUAUUUUGAGUCACCACCUGUUUUGCAUAAUCCAAUCAUAAUAGAACGGAAUACGAGAGGGAGUAAAAGUAAGUAAAAUUAGUUUGUGAAAUGCAGGAAAAAAACUUCGAAACUUGGUCGACCAUCACAUUUGAAAAACUUUAUGGCGCAGACACAGCAAAUUUCUGAAAGUUAAUAAAUUUUUAACUGAAAAGCUCCAUUUGGCCAUUAUUUUUUGUCUUAUUUAU
rnacentral:lncRNA from 1 species